rnacentral:lncRNA from 1 species
ACCAUUUUCCAUAUAUAUUUCAACAUUGAAAAUUAUUAAUCCAAAGAUUUUGAUUCAUUUAUCAAAAUUCACCCAAUCUCUUCACAGAUUUUUGCUUGGUUUUGAUAUGUGAUUCAAGCCCAGCACAACAACUUGACCUAACUUGUAGAUAUAAAUCUGAAAAUAAGGAAAAUAUAAAAUCUGUAAAAUUUAAUCUAAAAAUCAGAAGUAAACUAAUAAUCAGAUUUAAUCAACAUAUUCAACAAAAUAAUCUAAAUUACAAUUUAAAAUUUUAGAAAAUACAAUCUGAACAUUACAGCUCUCUAUCUUUUCUUUAUCUUGUGAUUUUAUCUUUCAUAGUGGGGAAAUUUUAAUCGACGGUAUACAACAUCACAUCCCUCAAAAAUAUAAUUCUAACCUAGAAAUAAAUGGCAAUAGAGAAUUGUAAAUCAUUAGAUUGAACUCAAGCAAUAAAAUUAAUCCAUUCCUUUGUGUUUGGUAAAUCUAUCUCCUCCACAAAAUACCAUCUUCAAUAUUCUCAAUACAAUUAAAUGAAUGUGAGAACAUAUAUAAUAUCAUCUUCAUUUCAAUUCCUGUUAAAAGUUAAACAAAAUCAGACAAGAUCAUCACCAUGUCAGAAAAGGUAACAAUAUUUUUCUGUAAGGCUUGUUUUCAGAUUCUAACAUGUUGUUGGUGUGAGGGUUUGCCGGAGCUAGCUCACCGUCCAACCUAGUACAAGUCUCUCUCUAAGAAUUAUCAACCCCCUCCUCAGUUGGACCAGGGGAGGUAUUUAUAGCCUUCACUUGUUGUCAUUGGGCCUCGUGGGCUCGCGCUGUCGGGCCCGUCCGCCCGUCCGUCCGUCUGGGCCGGCCGGUCCGGUUCGGUCCGUGGGCCGCGGUCCAUGGUACCAACAGUACUCCCCCCCUUCCUUGGCAGGCCUGGGGGCCUGGGGCCGUCCACCCCUCUUUCGCCCCCCACCUACUUUCAUUAAAGUUCCUCGGUUCCCGGGCCCAUCCUUCUUUACUUCUCUAUAAAUAAGCUGCCUGAGUCCCCCAUUUUUUGCAUCCCCUCUCCUGUCUGCUAUGAGUGCUCGAGACAUCCUUGAGGAGUAUGGUCGCGAAGUGCAGCUUCAGCAUGCCACCUGGGCCCUGUGUCUGCUGUCGCCUACUGGUGUUCCCAAUAGUGUUGCCGUGGCCGAGACUCAGCGCCUUAAUGCCGUGUUGAUCGACGUCCACCGCGCCUCUCCCAAAUUCGCCGCUCCGAUAUUAUCGCGGAACUUCCUCCCGUCACCUACCCUGAUACCUCGGGCUCUGCCAAGGAAGGGGGGGAGUACUGUUGGUGUGAGGGUUUGCCGGAGCUAGCUCACCGUCCAACCUAGUACAAGUCUCUCUCUAAGAAUUAUCAACCCCCUCCCCAGUUGGACCAGGGGAGGUAUUUAUAGCCUUCACUUGUUGUCAUUGGGCCUCGUGGGCUCGCGCUGUCGGGCCCGUCCGCCCGUCCGUCCGUCUGGGCCGGUCCGGUUCGGUCCGUGGGCCGCGGUCCGCGGUCCAUGGUACCAACACAUGUAUUAUUGUUUGUGUUUUAAACAAUCUGUAGUUCUAUAGCAUGGUAUGAGGAUGAGCAUAGAUUGUGAUUGCUGCAACAGAAAAAUAAGAAGAACCCUUCUGAAGAUGUAAUGUAAAAAAAAUGAUUCUUAAUUACAGAUAUUUAUAAUUAAUGGACACUGUUUUGUUUUAACACAAAAAGGGGAAAAUAACUUUAUUUUUUUAACAAGUGGGUUAACACAUCUAAACUCUAGCUAUAUAUAUCAUAUGUUUUCUACCAAAAAUAAUUGCUGAUAUGCAUAUUACAAAAUAAAUCUCACAAAAAUCACUUACAAGGUUAGGCUUUCCGGAUUUUCAAUGAUCUUUGGAAAUGUCUGAGGAAAGGUUGCUAACUCAGCACCAUAAAUAAUAAUCUUAAUAAACUAAAUGGAUGAUUGGUUUUUUAUUAACCAAUCAUCCAACUUAAUAAACUAAAAACAAGAACAGACCGAUGGGGAUGGAAUCAGAAUAUGAAUAUGGAUGAAGAUCGAAUCAAGAUGAGAUCGGUAACAAAGGAAUCAGAUUUUCGUUACUUUAGGUAGGUUUUGAUGUAGCUCCCGACAUCGUUUAAGUUCCCAGUUGGUCUUUGAAGUUUCUGUAUACAUUAAGGAUACCCAUGGGGAUGGAAUCGGAAUAUGAAACUCUAAAUGUUAAAUCUAUCUCCAGAAUUGGGAUUGGGGGAUUUCGGAAGAAAAGAAAACAUGAUUUGGAAUUUGGGGAAAGUUGGACAGGAAGAAAACAAAAGUUUGAAAACAAAAGUUGGAGAGGAAGAAAUAGCGAUUCUCAAACGAUUCUCACAUCUAGAAAUAGUGCCCAGAGAAGAUUGAGAACUUGGACAGAAGAUUGAAAUAACCGGCUGGACAGGAGAUUGAGAUAUUUUCUUGAGAAGAUUGAGAAAGUACG